CAAUAAGCGGAGGAAAAGAAACCAACCGGGAUUGCCUCAGUAACGGCGAGUGAAGCGGCAAGAGCUCAAAUUUGAAAGCUGGCCCCUCCGGGGUCCGCGUUGUAAUUUGCAGAGGAUGCUUUGGGUGCGGCCCCCGUCUAAGUGCCCUGGAACGGGCCGUCAGAGAGGGUGAGAAUCCCGUCUUGGGCGGGGUGUCCGUGCCCGUGUAAAGCUCCUUCGACGAGUCGAGUUGUUUGGGAAUGCAGCUCUAAAUGGGUGGUAAAUUUCAUCUAAAGCUAAAUACUGGCCGGAGACCGAUAGCGCACAAGUAGAGUGAUCGAAAGAUGAAAAGCACUUUGAAAAGAGAGUUAAACAGCACGUGAAAUUGUUGAAAGGGAAGCGCUUGCGACCAGACUCGCCCUCGGGGUUCAGCCGGCACUCGUGCCGGUGUACUUCCCCGGGGGCGGGCCAGCGUCAGCUUGGGCGGCCGGUCAAAGGCCUCCGGAAUGUAGUGCCCCCCGGGGCACCUUAUAGCCGGAGGUGCAAUGCGGCCAGCCUGGGCUGAGGAACGCGCUUCGGCACGGACGCUGGCAUAAUGGUCGCAAACGACCCGUCUUGAAACACGGACCAAGGAGUCUAACAUCUACGCGAGUGUUCGGGUGUCAAACCCGUACGCGCAGUGAAAGCAAACGGAGGUGGGAGCCCCCUCGCGGGGCGCACCAUCGACCGAUCCUGAUGUCUUCGGAUGGAUUUGAGUAAGAGCGUAAAUGUGGGGACCCGAAAGAUGGUGAACUAUGCCUGAAUAGGGCGAAGCCAGAGGAAACUCUGGUGGAGGCUCGCAGCGGUUCUGACGUGCAAAUCGAUCGUCAAAUUUGGGUAUAGGGGCGAAAGACUAAUCGAACCAUCUAGUAGCUGGUCUGCA
rnacentral:rRNA from 1 species